rnacentral:lncRNA from 1 species
UUCAUUUUCUCUUUAAACUGGAGUUGGACUUCCAGCUUUUCAGCUAGAGCAACGUUGAGAGGCAUUGGACAGCUGCUAUUGCAAAUCAAAGCUGGCUGCCCUUUUCAGUAGUCUUGGCAAUGUAGCCCUGUGCUUUCAGAGAGAAAGUUCAAAGGAUAGUCCUUAGAGCAGCAUAAGAUAUGGUCGUCAAGGAUCAUCUUAUCACUAAUCUUUGGGUUUUUUUGGUGUUUUAUUUUUUUCAGAUGCCCUUUCUGAUGAAUGGAAAAAAGAAUUUUGGAAACUACCAUAUUCCUCGCUUUGCUGCUCCUGUUUUCCAAAUUCUGCUGCUGAUGAGACAGACAUCCCUGCUCUAAUAUGGCUGGUGCUAACUCUGGAAAGCGUUCAUCUGUUUUAAUGUAGAAGUCAGCGUUGCAAAUAUGAAUUCCAAGGUCCUUUCUAUUGCUGCUCAGAAUUUGGUCUUGCACAUCCCUUUUGUUCAUUUGCUGUACCGUCAGCAUAUUUUCUACCAAGUUCCUACUCUCUUGGGUGGGACAGAGGAAGAUGCUGGCAAGAUGUGCAGAUGGAUGGCAAGCUGCCACUCAGCCUGGAGCUCGAAGUCCACAUUUACUUAGACCCAAAGGGCUAAUCAUGGCAUGAUUUGGAGCCUAAAAGAGGAAAGACAGCUCAGUGAUUCAUUUCUAAUAACUCGUUUUCUUACUUUUGUCAAAAAGUGCUUUAGUCAAAGCCUGUUCUACUGUAGUUAUAAAGAUAUAUAAUUAUAUAGUAAUUGCAGAAUAUCAAGGAAAUAUAAUCAAAACUGCUUUUUGUGGUGG